GACGAACGCUGGCGGCGGGCUUAACACAUGCAAGUCGAACGGAAAGGCCCUGCUUUUGUGGGGUGCUCGAGUGGCGAACGGGUGAGUAACACGUGAGUAACCUGCCCUGGACUUUGGGAUAACUUCAGGAAACUGGGGCUAAUACCGGAUAGGAGCUCCUGCUGCAUGGGGGGGGUUGGAAAGUUUCGGCGGUGGGGGAUGGACUCGCGGCUUAUCAGCUUGUUGGUGGGGGAGUGGCUUACCAAGGCUUUGGCGGGUAGCCGGCAUGAGAGGGUGACCGGCGACAUGGGGACUAAGAUAGGCCGCAGACUCGUAUGGGGGACAGCAGUGGAGAGUAUUGUACAGUGGGGGCGAGUCUGUUGCGGAAGCGCGCGGUGCGGAAUGCCGGCUUUCGUGUGGGAAACGGCUUUAGGUUGAGACGAAGCGGGAGUGACGUUACUGAGUAAAGAAGCACCGGCUAACUACGUG
rnacentral:rRNA from 1 species